GGUUCGGCCGANCACUCUAAAUAGACUGCCUUCGUAAGGAGGAGGAAGGUGUGGACGACGUCAAGUCAUCAUGGCCCUUAUGCCCAGGGCGACACACGUGCUACAAUGGCAUAUACAAUGAGACGCAAUACCGCGAGGUGGAGCAAAUCUAUAAAAUAUGUCCCAGUUCGGAUUGUUCUCUGCAACUCGAGAGCAUGAAGCCGGAAUCGCUAGUAAUC
rnacentral:rRNA from 1 species